AUGUAUUUUUUAUUGAAGAUGCCAUAAUAAUUUAAUGCUCUCGGUGGGGUGCGUGGUGAGUUGUGCGUGGAUGCCGCGAAGAAUAGCGUGGGCCUCCACACGCGCUACAUCUCUUCGGUAACGCACUCAACAAGCCAUGUGAUAAGAUGCCAAAUUGGGGAGAAAAGGGGAGAGAGAAAAAAAAAUCAAUGACAUAAACAAUGUCAUAAGAACAUUACUAGUUUGACCAUCUUCAUCCAGAUAAAACACAACACUCCUAUUCAUGGAUCAGCACAUCCAUCCUCAACCUGAUCUUUUAUAUGGUGUCAAGACCCCUCAUAGAGUGCAGAGAGUCGGCAUCAAACCGAUGACAUGGAGAUGGCUGGAGUGAAGUGAAGUUUUGUUUAAUUUGUUGUAUCCUGAAGACCUCACUCACUUUGUCAGACCAGUGGCAACAAAACGAUUCUGUAUCUGCCCCAGUGCUAAAAUAGUUUAACAGCUUUU